AUCCAUCUGAUGAGUCUCAAACAGAACGAAACUCGCGUCAAACUGGAU
rfam:Schistosoma rodhaini strain Burundi genome assembly, scaffold: SROB_scaffold0002606